CUGAUUUUUUUUGUCUUACAUUUUGCUAAAUAUGACAAUAAAGUGACUAUUGUUAACUGCGGAUGUGCAGACACAUGACCUAGUGGGCUGGGCUGUCAGUCAAACAUCUCUGACGGGACGGCAGAAGAGGACAGUGGCUGAUUUUUACACCAUUGCUGAGGUAGAUCAGAUCGAUGGCUAAAAAUACAAAGAUUUGAGCUAUAUUUUGAGGGAAACUUAAAAGCUCCAUUUUAUAUCUUCAUAAAUCACAAAAUCUAGAUCUGACCGCUCCAUUAAUUGCUGACUUCUAUGCUUUUCUAAUUCUAAGGUGGACCCAAAAUUUGCAAGGGGACACAAAAGACACAAAGGCAAAGAUCCAACAGUAGCACGAGUACUUUUGGCGGUAAUGUGACUUGACUUAUAUUAUCCCAACAUCCAGAGACUAUUGACCCUCUCCACCUUGGUCCACCUUUUAUCACCCCAUAUAAUGCAGGCUUAGUCAUUAAGUUUCCCCUCUGUCAGUGUUAGAGGUGUGGGUGUUUUCCAGUCUCCAGCACCUGAGUGUGAUUCUAGUAGCUGAUGCCAUCUGAAUAGUCCAGUAUCAGUCGGGGACCUCAGUUGUAACAUUUGUUACAUUUUCAGCUGGUACAAUUCUCUCUCACCCGAUAUGGCGGGGCAUUUUGAUUCUAUUGUGUCAACAGAAUCAAAUCCUUAGUAAAACCGCUUACCCUCUAACUAGUGGUGGCGCUGCACCAAGAACUAGUGAAGAAGCAGUUUUUCUGCAGCAGAGUUUGAUUGCGCAUUCACACCUCAACAAACAAACUUCAUUUUCUAGGUAAACAAACUAAAGUUCAAUUAAAGUGGACUAAACAAGGCUGGUGUGAAUGCACCCUUAGCGUCCAGAGGGGUGUUAUGGAGUACAGAGAUUCUACAGCUCUUUGCAACUUUGGUUGUGCUUCCUUCCUUCCCAACACUGCUGGGUCUCCUGCUGUCUGCACCCUGACACAACACUUUUUACGUCGGACACAAACUCCUAAAGCAGAGUAACAAUAAUGCAGCUUUUAACAACUGAGAAGAUUCGUCCAAUGAACAUCUACUGUUAUUUUCACACGGCGGACCCGCUGAACGCAGGUCUCGGCGUGGUCCGACACUCACCGGGAAACAUUCAGGGGAAGCGAAAGAACAUGACUGAAAUCAAACAGGCGUAAAGUAAAUCUGAAGCAUCCAAACACAUGAUGAAGAAGAAAGAGUUCACAUAAAGGCACUUUAAGAGAAAGCUUGACUCUAAGCAACGACGUGUGGGCAGCUCAUUAAAGUGACUCUGAUGUGUAAACUUGUCAAUGGGCAGCUCAUCAGAUUUAAAUGUAGUCUUUAUGAACUAGUAAUAUGUAAACACUGAGACAUAAAACAGAGUGAUUUUAUGUCAAAGUUAGGAUUUAACUUUAUAAAUCUAUUUUUUUCUGUGUGAGUUUUCUUUUUAAUCAUUAAAAUAAUAAAAAAAUAGUAUUUUGGACAAGUGUUAUAAUAUCUGUUUCAGUUAGA